rnacentral:rRNA from 1 species
GACGAACGCUGGCGGCGUGCUUAACACAUGCAAGUCGAGCGGAGCGGCGAACGGGUGAGGAACGCGUGAGUAACUGCCCCCCUCUCUGGGAUAACAGUUGGAAAAGGCUGCGAAUACCGGAUAGUGGGGGAUGAAUCGCGUCCUAUCAGCUUGUGGGUGGGGUAGUGGCCUACCAAGGCGACGACGGGUAGCCGGCCGUAGAGGGCGACCGGCCCCAUUGGUCUGAGAUACGGACCAAACGCCUACGGGAGGCAGCAGUGGGGAAUAUGGCACAAUGGGGGAAACCCUGAUGCAGCAACGCCGGGUGCGGGAUGACGGCUGUCGGGUUGUAAACCGCUUUCAGCCAUGACGCGGUAGUGGCAGAAGAAGCACCGGCUAACUACGUGCCAGCAGCCGCGGUAAUAC